UACGGGGGGGGCAAGCGUUGUUCGGAAUUACUGGGCGUAAAGGGCUCGUAGGCGGCCAACUAAGUCAGACGUGAAAUCCCCAGGCUCAACCUGGGAACUGCGUCUGAUACUGGAUGGCUUGAAUCCGGGAGAGGGAUGCAGAAUUCCAGGUGUAACGGUGAAAUGCGUAGAUAUCUGGAGGAAUACCGGUGGCGAAGGCGGCAUCCUGGACCGGCAUUGACGCUGAGGAGCGAAAGCUAGGGGAGCAAACGGG
rnacentral:rRNA from 1 species